rnacentral:siRNA from 1 species
UGUAAUAUUUUAGGUGUCAAUCCA